rnacentral:rRNA from 1 species
UACAGAGGGUGCAAGCGUUAAUCGGAAUUACUGGGCGUAAAGCGCGCGUAGGUGGUUUGUUAAGUUGAAUGUGAAAUCCCCGGGCUCAACCUGGGAACUGCAUCCAAAACUGGCAAGCUAAGAGUAGGGCAGAGGGUGGUGGAAUUUCCUGUGUAGCGGUGAAAUGCGUAGAUAUAGGAAGGAACACCCAGUGGCGAAGGCGACCACCUGGGCUCAUACUGACACUGAGGUGCGAAAGCGUGGGGAGCAAACAGG